UGUCGCAUUCGGAUUCUGUUACGUUUUGUCUUGCGAAGCUUUCGAAAAUGGCGGAUUUUACGGGAGUUGGAGUGGGGAGAAAGAUUUGGUCCACAUCCAUGUGGAUCAGGGGAGAGUUUUCGGUUUCUGUUAUUGAGAAUUCCGAGUUGGUAAGAACCGAGAUUGCUGAUGUUGAAAAGCCGAUCAUUUCACUGGAUUUUGCAUCAUUGGAUUCCCUCUAAAAAAAAUAAUCAUCAUAAUAGGAGUCAAAUCUAGAUAUAUGUAGAGACGUCUAAAAGAGCUUUUAGCUUUACAUACAAGACAUAAUUAAGUGAAAGAAGUAACCUCUGCAGGUGGAUGUCGAUCAGGAAGCUGGAAUGAGAGAAGUUCGUUGAAAAGACAACCAUAAUAGUAUUGGCUAAUUAGUGCGAUAUUUCCCUGUAGUAGCUCCACACUCUUAGACAAUGCCUUACAAAUGGUUGGCUCUUCUGAUAUCACAAAA
rnacentral:lncRNA from 1 species